CGUAGGUGGCGAGCGUUGUCCGGAUUUACUGGGCGUAAAGCGUGUUCAGGCGGUCUAGCAAGUCGGGCAUGAAAUCUCUCGGCUCAACCGGGAGGGGUUGUCCGAUACUGCUGGGCUUGUAGGGCAGCAGAGGGUGGUGGAAUUCCGGGUGUAGUGGUGAAAUGCGUAGAUAUCCGGAGGAAACACCAGUGGCGAAGGCGGCCACCUGGGCUGUACCUGACGCUCCAACACGAAAGCUAGGGGAGCGAACGGGAUUAGAAACCCCGGUAGUCCUAGCCGUAAACGAUGUUGACUAGGUGUCGACGGUCUAAACCCCGCCGGUGCCGGAGCUAACGCACGAAGUCAACCGCCUGGGGACUACGGCCGCAAGGUUA
rnacentral:rRNA from 1 species